rnacentral:rRNA from 1 species
GACGAACGCUGGCGGCGUGCUUAACACAUGCAAGUCGAACGGAAAGGCCCUGCUUUUGUGGGGUGCUCGAGUGGCGAACGGGUGAGUAACACGUGAGUAACCUGCCCUUGACUUUGGGAUAACUUCAGGAAACUGGGGCUAAUACCGGAUAGGAGCUCCUGCUGCAUGGUGGGGGUUGGAAAGUUUCGGCGGUUGGGGAUGGACUCGCGGCUUAUCAGCUUGUUGGUGGGGUAGUGGCUUACCAAGGCUUUGACGGGUAGCCGGCCUGAGAGGGUGACCGGCCACAUUGGGACUGAGAUACGGCCCAGACUCCUACGGGAGGCAGCAGUGGGGAAUAUUGCACAAUGGGCGGAAGCCUGAUGCAGCAACGCCGCGUGCGGGAUGACGGCCUUCGGGUUGUAAACCGCUUUCGCCUGUGACGAAGCGUGAGUGACGGUAAUGGGUAAAGAAGCACCGGCUAACUACGUGCCAGCAGCCGCGGUGAUACGUAGGGUGCGAGCGUUGUCCGGAUUUAUUGGGCGUAAAGGGCUCGUAGGUGGUUGAUCGCGUCGGAAGUGUAAUCUUGGGGCUUAACCCUGAGCGUGCUUUCGAUACGGGUUGACUUGAGGAAGGUAGGGGAGAAUGGAAUUCCUGGUGGAGCGGUGGAAUGCGCAGAUAUCAGGAGGAACACCAGUGGCGAAGGCGGUUCUCUGGGCCUUUCCUGACGCUGAGGAGCGAAAGCGUGGGGAGCGAACAGGCUUAGAUACCCUGGUAGUCUACGCUGUAAACGGUGGGUACUAGGUGUGGGGUCCAUUCCACGGGUUCCGUGCCGUAGCUAACGCUUUAAGUACCCCGCCUGGGGAGUACGGCCGCAAGGCUAAAACUCAAAGGAAUUGACGGGGCCCCGCACAAGCGGCGGAGCAUGCGGAUUAAUUCGAUGCAACGCGUAGAACCUUACCUGGGUUUGACAUGGAUCGGGAGCGCUCAGAGAUGGGUGUGCCUCUUUUGGGGUCGGUUCACAGGUGGUGCAUGGCUGUCGUCAGCUCGUGUCGUGAGAUGUUGGGUUAAGUCCCGCAACGAGCGCAACCCUUGUUCACUGUUGCCAGCACGUUAUGGUGGGGACUCAGUGGAGACCGCCGGGGUCAACUCGGAGGAAGGUGGGGAUGACGUCAAGUCAUCAUGCCCCUUAUGUCCAGGGCUUCACGCAUGCUACAAUGGCUGGUACAGAGAGUGGCGAGCCUGUGAGGGUGAGCGAAUCUCGGAAAGCCGGUCUCAGUUCGGAUUGGGGUCUGCAACUCGACCUCAUGAAGUCGGAGUCGCUAGUAAUCGCAGAUCAGCAACGCUGCGGUGAAUACGUUCCCGGGGCU